GGAUCUCUUGGUUCUGGCAUCGAUGAAGAACGCAGCGAAAUGCGAUAAGUAAUGUGAAAAUUCAGUGAAUCAUCGAAUCUUUGAACGCACAUUGCGCCCUUUGGUAUUCCGAAGGGCAUGCCUGUUCGAGCGUCAUUUCACCACUCAAGCCUGGCUUGG
rnacentral:rRNA from 1 species